rnacentral:rRNA from 1 species
GACGAACGCUGGCGGCGUGCUUAACACAUGCAAGUCGAACGGAAAGGCCCUGCUUUUGUGGGGUGCUCGAGUGGCGAACGGGUGAGUAACACGUGAGUAACCUGCCCUUGACUUUGGGAUAACUUCAGGAAACUGGGGCUAAUACCGGAUAGGAGCUCCUGCUGCAUGGUGGGGGUUGGAAAGUUUCGGCGGUUGGGGAUGGACUCGCGGCUUAUCAGCUUGUUGGUGGGGUAGUGGCUUACCAAGGCUUUGACGGGUAGCCGGCCUGAGAAGGUGACCGGCCACAUUGGGACUGAGAUACGGCCCAGACUCCUACGAGAGGCAGCAGUGGGGAAUAUUGCACAAUGGGCGGAAGCCUGAUGCAGCAACGCCGCGUGCGGGAUGACGGCCUUCGGGUUGUAAACCGCUUUCGCCUGUGACGAAGCGUGAGUGACGGUAAUGGGUAAAGAAGCACCGGCUAACUACGUG